AGUCGAGCGGGGUGAUGUAGCUUGCUACAUUACCUAGCGGCGGACGGGUGAGUAAUGCUUAGGAAUCUGCCUAUUAGUGGGGGACAACAUUCCGAAAGGAAUGCUAAUACCGCAUACGCCCUACGGGGGAAAGCAGGGGAUCUUCGGACCUUGCGCUAAUAGAUGAGCCUAAGUCAGAUUAGCUAGUUGGUGGGGUAAAGGCCUACCAAGGCGACGAUCUGUAGCGGGUCUGAGAGGAUGAUCCGCCACACUGGGACUGAGACACGGCCCAGACUCCUACGGGAGGCAGCAGUGGGGAAUAUUGGACAAUGGGCGAAAGCCUGAUCCAGCCAUGCCGCGUGUGUGAAGAAGGCCUUUUGGUUGUAAAGCACUUUAAGCGAGGAGGAGGCUACUUAGAUUAAUACUCUAGGAUAGUGGACGUUACUCGCAGAAUAAGCACCGGCUAACUCUGUGCCAGCAGCCGCGGUAAUACAGAGGGUGCGAGCGUUAAUCGGAUUUACUGGGCGUAAAGCGUGCGUAGGCGGCUUCUUAAGUCGGAUGUGAAAUCCCUGAGCUUAACUUAGGAAUUGCAUUCGAUACUGGGAAGCUAGAGUAUGGGAGAGGAUGGUAGAAUUCCAGGUGUAGCGGUGAAAUGCGUAGAGAUCUGGAGGAAUACCGAUGGCGAAGGCAGCCAUCUGGCCUAAUACUGACGCUGAGGUACGAAAGCAUGGGGAGCAAACAGGAUUAGAUACCCUGGUAGUCCAUGCCGUAAACGAUGUCUACUAGCCGUUGGGGCCUUUGAGGCUUUAGUGGCGCAGCUAACGCGAUAAGUAGACCGCCUGGGGAGUACGGUCGCAAGACUAAAACUCAAAUGAA
rnacentral:rRNA from 1 species